UACGUAGGGUGCGAGCGUUGUCCGGAUUUAUUGGGCGUAAAGGGCUCGUAGGUGGUUUGUUGCGUCGGAAGUGAAAACCUGCAGCUUAACUGUGGGCUUGCUUUCGAUACGGGCAGACUUGAGGAAGGUAGGGGAGAACGGAAUUCCUGGUGGAGCGGUGGAAUGCGCAGAUAUCAGGAGGAACACCGGUGGCGAAGGCGGUUCUCUGGACCUUUCCUGACGCUGAGGAGCGAAAGCGUGGGGAGCAAACAGG
rnacentral:rRNA from 1 species